rnacentral:rRNA from 1 species
AGGAUGAACGCUAGCGGCAGGCCUAAUACAUGCAAGCUGAACGGUAAAUAGUGUAGCAAUACAUUAUGAGAGUAGCGUAAGGGUGCGUAACACGUAUGCAAUCUGCCCUGUACAGGAGGAUAGCUCGGCGAAAGCCGGAUUAAUACUUCGUAAUAUUAUGGAGGGGCAUCUCUUUAUAAUUAAAGUCGCAAGAUGGUACAGGAUGAGCAUGCGUCUGAUUAGCUAGUUGGUAGUGUAACGGACUACCAAGGCGAUGAUCAGGUAGGGGAACUGAGGAGGUUGACUACCCCCACACGUGCACUGAGAUACGGGCCAGACCUCUACGGGAGCAGCAGGUAGGAAUAUUGGUACAAGUGGGUAGAGGAGCCGUAGAACCACGCCAGUCGCCGCGUGCGAAGGAAGGAACGCCGUUUCGUGGGUUAGUAAACGU